rnacentral:rRNA from 1 species
GAUGAACGCUGGCGGCGUGCCUAAUACAUGCAAGUCGAGCGAACGGACGAUAAGCUUGCUUCUCUGAUGUUAGCGGCGGACGGGUGAGUAACACGUGGAUAACCUACCUAUAAGACUGGGAUAACUUCGGGAAACCGGAGCUAAUACCGGAGAAUAUUUUGAACCGCAUGGUUCAAAAGUGAAAGACGGUCUUGCUGUCACUUAUAGAUGGAUCCGCGCUGCAUUAGCUAGUUGGUAAGGUAACGGCUUACCAAGGCAACGAUGCAUAGCCGACCUGAGAGGGUGAUCGGCCACACUGGAACUGAGACACGGUCCAGACUCCUACGGGAGGCAGCAGUAGGGAAUCUUCCGCAAUGGGCGAAAGCCUGACGCAGCAACGCCGCGUGAGUGAUGAAGGUCUUCGGAUCGUAAAACUCUGUUAUUAGGGAAGAACAUAUGUGUAAGUAACUGUGCACAUCUUGACGGUACCUAAUCAGAAAGCCACGGCUAACUACGUG